AAUGGGUCAGCGACUUAUAUUCUGUAGCAAGGUUAACCGAAUAGGGGAGCCGAAGGGAAACCGAGUCUUAACUGGGCGUUAAGUUGCAGGGUAUAGACCCGAAACCCGGUGAUCUAGCCAUGGGCAGGUUGAAGGUUGGGUAACACUAACUGGAGGACCGAACCGACUAAUGUUGAAAAAUUAGCGGAUGACUUGUGGCUGGGGGUGAAAGGCCAAUCAAACCGGGAGAUAGCUGGUUCUCCCCGAAAGCUAUUUAGGUAGCGCCUCGUGAAUUCAUCUCCGGGGGUAGAGCACUGUUUCGGCAAGGGGGUCAUCCCGACUUACCAACCCGAUGCAAACUGCGAAUACCGGAGAAUGUUAUCACGGGAGACACACGGCGGGUGCUAACGUCCGUCGUGAAGAGGGAAACAACCCAGACCGCCAGCUAAGGUCCCAAAGUCAUGGUUAAGUGGGAAACGAUGUGGGAAGGCCCAGACAGCCAGGAUGUUGGCUUAGAAGCAGCCAUCAUUUAAAGAAAGCGUAAUAGCUCACUGGUCGAGUCGGCCUGCGCGGAAGAUGUAACGGGGCUAAACCAUGCACCGAAGCUGCGGCAGCGACGCUGAUGCGUUGUUGGGUAGGGGAGCGUUCUGUAAGCCUGUGAAGGUGUGCUGUGAGGCAUGCUGGAGGUAUCAGAAGUGCGAAUGCUGACAUAAGUAACGAUAAAGCGGGUGAAAAGCCCGCUCGCCGGAAGACCAAGGGUUCCUGUCCAACGUUAAUCGGGGCAGGGUGAGUCGACCCCUAAGGCGAGGCCGAAAGGCGUAGUCGAUGGGAAACAGGUUAAUAUUCCUGUACUUGGUGUUACUGCGAAGGGGGGACGGAGAAGGCUAUGUUGGCCGGGCGACGGUUGUCCCGGUUUAAGCGUGUAGGCUGGUUUUCCAGGCAAAUCCGGAAAAUCAAGGCUGAGGCGUGAUGACGAGGCACUACGGUGCUGAAGCAACAAAUGCCCUGCUUCCAGGAAAAGCCUCUAAGCAUCAGGUAACAUCAAAUCGUACCCCAAACCGACACAGGUGGUCAGGUAGAGAAUACCAAGGCGCUUGAGAGAACUCGGGUGAAGGAACUAGGCAAAAUGGUGCCGUAACUUCGGGAGAAGGCACGCUGAUAUGUAGGUGAAGUCCCUCGCGGAUGGAGCUGAAAUCAGUCGAAGAUACCAGCUGGCUGCAACUGUUUAUUAAAAACACAGCACUGUGCAAACACGAAAGUGGACGUAUACGGUGUGACGCCUGCCCGGUGCCGGAAGGUUAAUUGAUGGGGUCAGCGCAAGCGAAGCUCUUGAUCGAAGCCCCGGUAAACGGCGGCCGUAACUAUAACGGUCCUAAGGUAGCGAAAUUCCUUGUCGGGUAAGUUCCGACCUGCACGAAUGGCGUAAUGAUGGCCAGGCUGUCUCCACCCGAGACUCAGUGAAAUUGAACUCGCUGUGAAGAUGCAGUGUACCCGCGGCAAGACGGAAAGACCCCGUGAACCUUUACUAUAGCUUGACACUGAACAUUGAGCCUUGAUG
rnacentral:rRNA from 1 species